rnacentral:rRNA from 1 species
AACGUAGGGGGCCAGCGUUGCUCGGAAUUACUGGGCGUAAAGGGUCCGUAGGCGGUGUGGCAAGUCGGAAGUGAAAUCUCAGGGCUUAACCCUGAGGCUGCUUCUGAAACUGCCGUGCUAGAGUGCGAGAGAGGCGAGUGGAAUUGCAGGUGUAGCGGUGAAAUGCGUAGAUAUCUGCAGGAACCCCCGAGGCGAAAGCGGCUCGCUGGAUCGCACCUGUCGCUGAGGGCCGAAAGCUAGGGGAGCAAACAGU